rnacentral:rRNA from 1 species
UACGGGGGGAGCAAGCGUUGUUCGGAUUUACUGGGCGUAAAGGGCGCGUAGGCGGCCAGCACAAGUCAGUUGUGAAAUCUCCGGGCUUAACUCGGAAAGGUCAACUGAUACUGUGCGGCUAGAGUGCGGAAGGGGCAACUGGAAUUCCCAGUGUAGCGGUGAAAUGCGUAGAUAUUGGGAAGAACACCUGAGGCGAAGGCGGGUUGCUGGGCCGACACUGACGCUGAGGCGCGAAAGCCAGGGGAGCAAACGGGG